GAGCUCUUCUUCUCAAUUGUGUAACUAUUCAGUUCAGACUUCAGAUAAUAAAGAAUCAUUUUCUUCUUUCUUAUCAAAUGGUGUGCUCGUGACUCGGACCGAACGAAAUCGAAGAAGUGAGUUUUGGUUAAAAAGAUUUGGGGAAUUGUUUCAAUCGGAAGAUUCAAGGUAUGAUGAUGGUGUUGACACAUGGUUUGUCGCCGAUAAGGGAGUUGUCGACGGAGGACCAAGCAGAAGCUUUGACAAUUGAGUUUUAGAGUUUUAUGAUCAACUGACGGACAUGAAGAACAAGAUUCGGGCUUCAGAGAAUCGAAUAGAUACAAAACUUGAUUUUUUAGGGUAGAUAUGGGUGCGAAGAUCGGGAUUCAUGAUCAGCAAUUUGUGGACAUUGGGUAGAAAUUGGAUUUCUUGAUUAAAUCCUUACUGGGGGCGGGGGACGGUGUAUGAGGUGGGUGGCUCAAGUCAGUCCGGUGUAGUAGUGGCACAAAAUCGACAAAUUCAGGUACAAAAUUCUUCUCUGGAUCCAUUUCUUAGUGAGAUUAGGCCUGGGAUUAGAGAAAAUCUUCUCAAAAAUGUAGAUAUGGCAGCCUUUGAGAGUUCGGGAAACUUUGGUUGGAUUGCAACAGUGGAGAGGUUUAUCAGAAAUGGAGGUUAUAAUGAUGCUGAGAAAUUAGUUUUGGUAUCAGUGAGUUUACAAGGUGAAGCUUUGAGCAGGUACAAUUAGGAAAUAAACAUAAAAGAUUUUGAGAGUUGUAGUCAGUUUAAGGCAAGCUUGUUGUUGAGCUUUGGUAACUUGACGAUUAGAGGCCCAAGCCAGAGUUGGAAGGCAUAUUUCGUAACGGGUUAACUUAGGAGAUGCAAGAGUUAGUUCAUAUGCAAAAUCCAAGAAAUUUGCCUACGAUGGUUGCAGAAGCUAGAGCAUGGAGUCAAGUAUUAUCAUAAGAGUGGUUAAGAAGGAGCUGUUGUUAGCUAAUAAAGAGAGUAAUGAGGGAUACAAUUCGGAUUACAAAGCUCACACCAAUUACAAUACCAAUAAUUGGAAAAUGAAAAUCAUUGUUACAGAUUCUUUACAAGGGGCUGAGAAACAAGUGGGUAGAGUAGACCACAAACCAAGAAGACAUGAUUCCAGGGCGGAAUUAGAUGAGAAGCCAAGAAAAAUAAUAUACUUUAAGUAUGAUGGAGCUUGGCACAAAGAUCAUAAAUGUCCAAACAAAGAAUUGCGAGUGUUGACUGUUUUGAAUGGUUAUGAAGUAGAGGUCUUGGAAGGGAACAUUGAAGAGGAUAUUGUUGAAGAACCUAUAUGUGAAUGUAUUACACUUUCAUUUUCUUCGUAUAUCUUCACCUUCAAUGACUAAAGUGAGGGGUAUGGUUGGAACUGCUAGUGUCAUUAUUAUGCUCGACAGUGGGGCAACCCACAAUUUUAUAUCUCCAGCAGCUAUUACGAAACUGAGGUUGAAAUGUAGAGAAGAUCCAAACUUUAAUGUGAGGCUGGGAAAAAGGAUCACAGUCCAAGGAAUGAGAGUUUGUGAAAAGUAAGUUUUACAGUUCAAGAUUUGGAGUUUACAACGGAUUUUGUGUAACUAGAGCUAGGCCAAAUUGACAUUAUUUUGGGAGUCUAUUAGUUGAGUACGUUGGGUGAUUGCAAUGUAAAUUGGAAGAAAAAUGAAGUGUCAUUUCUGUACAAAGAUAAGACAAUGUCUUUAAAAGGAGAAUCUGACUUUAACAUUUCCAAGAUGUCCCUGAAGUCAAAUUCCAGUCGAUGAGGUGCCCGGAGGCGUAUCGGGUGGACCUGGCGGCCCAUUACUUUGCCGGUGAUGCACAUUUGUGGUGGCAGAGUGUGCUGGCCACGAGGGGUUAGGGAUUGGCAGAAUGGGAAGAUUUCAUGGCAGAGUUUAAUGCCAAAUAUUUCCCGGCAGAGGCACUGGAUCGGAUGGAGUCGCAGUUCUUGGCGUUGACUAAGGACGACCAGUCAGUGCGGGAGUAUCACUCGGAGUUUUGCGACUCUUGGUGUACUCGGGCCGUGCAGGAGAUCCUGAGCAGAUGCAUGUGGGUCAGUUUAUGAAGGGUCUCAGCCCUGACAUGAGGGUACGGUGCAAGGUGCGGGCCUAUGCAUCGCGUGUGGAGUUGGUUGAGGUGGCGGCGGGGAUCGAGGACAAGUUGAGGAGUCACGGGGUGAUUCCUAAUCCGUCGGUGCAGCCGAAAAAGACCCAGCCGCAGACAGUUCCGAGCAGAGGUGGCAAACCUGUUCAGGGACAGAAGAGGUAGUGGGAUGUCACUUUCAGAGUGAGUCAGGGUGAUCGGAAGUGCUUCAGGUGUGCGAGCACGGAUCAUAGGAUGGCGAACUGCCGGAAGAAGAGCGAGCCGUGGGUGGAUACCCGUGUCUGUUACCACUAUAGAAUGACGGGGCACAUCAAGACGAGGUGUCCUAAGUUACAGCAGAUGGCGGUAGCAGCGGUGCAGCCGGUUAUGCAGCCAGUGGUGCAGUAGUGGUGCAGCCAGGAUUGCAACUAGGAGGGCAGUCUUUGGCUCAGUUGGGAGCACCGCUGGUGGCACAAAUCGAAAGAUCGCGGGGGUACUCGACCGUGGAGACAGGAGAGCCAAGCACUGGACGGCCGAUCACAGGUUUACUUCUUAGACUCAGUCUGUUUCCUUCUGUCGUUUUAGAAUUCGUGUUGUUUUUCCUAUGAUUCUGGGGUGGGCGGUCUUAGUGAUGAACGAUCCAAAAUCACAACGGGUCUUCAUGAACGAUUAUGAUUUCGGAUCGUUCUUCUUCAAUUCUGGCUCCAUAGAUCUUCAUGAAAUGGUCACUUUUCGAGUGAAUACUCAAUGUUGGUCGAGAAAAGUCUUCAAAUGGUCGAUGGAAUUGAACAUGGUAAUGUCGGGAUGGGUCGUCGUGGAGAGUCUUCAAUCUGGUCCGUUGAUUUCUGAUUUCUCCUGAACCACUAGUCUUCUUAGGGGUGAUUUUAUGAUGAAUAAUCAACCCUAGGCCUUGCGCUUGAUCAGAACUCCAUAUUCGCCAAAAUUCUCCAUUUUGGUCCGGUACGGUUUGGUUGAUGCUUGAACCGGCUGGUGUGGUCAACUCCGGGUCUUGUUUGGUUCUGAUGACCUCAUCAACGUGAGGUAUAUCUGAUCGAUAGAUAUGCUCGGGGACGUUUAGACUUAUUUGCUCGGAUAUGAUGUGAUGGCCUCAGAUGACGAUUCGAGUGCACGCUUGAGGGUGACGACCCGAGAGCGAGCGUGAGACUUCCCGGAUACCGUAGCUAGAAGGCUGGUGGCCUAAUAGUGAGCCGGUAUGACUUGAGGGUUGCGACCUGAGAGUGGGGGGAGUGGUAUGAUCCAUGGGUUGCGACCUAUGGACGGGGGAGGUAGGUGUGUAUGAGCAAAUAGGGUCUGGAACGUGAGUAUAUUGAUUAGAUAGGGGCCUCGGUGAGGUCAGUUGUGUACUGACGGACGUUUUAAAUGAUUUGAGGACGAAUCCUAGUUAGUGGGGGAGAAUUGUAAUGUCCGUUUUCUAUUUUGGGUGGUGUCGAUCCUGAGGGGUGUCGCGAGGGGUGUCGCUCGACACCAGUAAUUGUUCGGUUUGGUUGGUUUGAUUUUAACUGUGUUUUGAUUGAGGUUGGUUAGGGUUUAACCAUAGGUCGUGUUUAGCUCAGGGGUAGCCGCUUUUAGAAGUUAACAAAGAGCAAAGAGUAAGAUUUGAUCUUUUGGUGCCUUUGAGUGAGUGUUUUGUGAGUUUGAGGCUUGUUCUUGGUGGUUGAAGGCUGGUAAAGGCAAGAUCCAUGCUGUGUGGUGUUAGAGGAGGCAGAUCCUUCCUUGUUCUUCCCUAUUUCGUUGCUAUUCUUUCUUGUAAAAGGUGAGUGCAUGACCAAGGCUUAUCUAAGCAUGUUUGAUCAUUGUUUUGGGUAUUUUAAUGAUUGUUUCAUUAAUUCAUUUGCUUGUUUGGAUGUUUAUAUGAUGAUUGAUGCCUAUGGAACCCCUUGGAGACUCGCUCAUAUCAUGAUGGUGAUUUGGAGAGGAGAUCCAGCGAGACACGCUAGUUUGAGCGACCACAGAGCGUCGCUCGACACCAAUGUUUUGUUCCGCGAGGAUAGUUACGACUCGCGAACGGAGUGUCGAGGCCGGUGUCGACCGCGAGGGUCAACAGCGAGUGUCGAUCGACACCAGUGGUGGGUGUCGAUCGACAUCGAUAGUCAGAAGCGUUUCUUGUUUUUAUUUUUUAUUGGGUGUUUGGUUCUUUUCCUUGGAUAAUGGUUGGAUGUGCUUGUGUGUAUAGCCAGUGGUGGGAUGAUUGCCUCACUAAGUAUUUAUGAAAUACUUAUACAUCUCUUUCUUUGAUGCAGGUAAAAGCAAAGUGUGAUCCGUGGAAUCAUGGCGAGGAGAGGAGGAUGAUCUAGGCGCUCAUUGGUGUUUUAGAUUAUUGUAGGAUUUUUUAGGGUGUUAGAAUGGAAUUUAGAAGCAUGUUAGGAUGAUUAUGUUUCUGGAAUAAUGAUGGUUG
rnacentral:lncRNA from 1 species